rnacentral:rRNA from 1 species
GAUGAACGCUGGCGGCGUGCUUAACACAUGCAAGUCGAACGAUGAAGCCCAGCUUGCUGGGUGGAUUAGUGGCGAACGGGUGAGUAACACGUGAGUAACCUGCCCUUGACUCUGGGAUAAGCCUGGGAAACUGGGUCUAAUACUGGAUAUGACUUCUCAUCGCAUGGUGGGGGGUGGAAAGAUUUAUUGGUCUUGGAUGGACUCGCGGCCUAUCAGCUUGUUGGUGAGGUAAUGGCUCACCAAGGCGACGACGGGUAGCCGGCCUGAGAGGGUGACCGGCCACACUGGGACUGAGACACGGCCCAGACUCCUACGGGAGGCAGCAGUGGGGAAUAUUGCACAAUGGGCGCAAGCCUGAUGCAGCGACGCCGCGUGAGGGAUGACGGCCUUCGGGUUGUAAACCUCUUUCAGUAGGGAAGAAGCGAGAGUGACGGUACCUGCAGAAGAGGCGCCGGCUAACUACGUG